GAGACACUAGUAAAAUAGUAUAUUACAUAGCCUUGUCAAGGCUAAAUUGCGAGUUAAAACCUCACGUGUCUCU
rnacentral:tRNA from 1 species